rnacentral:tRNA from 1 species
AGUAAAGUCAAAAUAUAAAAUUAAUUUAUAACCCAUAAUCUGAUAAUGGUUAAAAUCCAUUCUUUACUC